GCGAGUUCCACUUACUUAACCUCCCCCUCCAACCAGCCCUCAGUACCACCACUGUGUUGGCUAAGCCUCAGCCUUUGCAGUAACUGUGGUGGUAAUUGCUCCGACACCGAAAGAAUGCAGUGACACCAAGCUGAGAACUGACAUCCACCAAGUGAAUGGGGAAGAAGGGGCAGGCUUGGAGUUGAAGUGGCCCAGUAGAGUUCAAAGAGAUCAUUGGCACUGAAGUUACGAGUGAAGGGUCUUAGUUGUCACAUUUAAGAAGCCAUUUAGGAAAACUUUUAAGCAGCUAAGAACAAAGGCUUUUGGACUUGAAAAACCCCAAUCCAGACACCUUCGUCCUUCCUGGCUGCAGGAUCCUGUGCACGUUGAGCUCUUUGAAUCUGCUCCUGUGUCAGCAGGUAACAAUACCCACCUCCCAGGAAAGGGGAAUGAGGAGAAAACUAAUUGGGAGAACAUGUGUGAAGUGCUCAGCCCAGUCCUGGUA
rnacentral:lncRNA from 1 species